UAUAUAUAUGAGGGAUUCAUGCAUAUAACUAAAUAAGUGGUGGUUGCACAAAUCACUUGGAUUUGUCUUUGCUGCCAACUACAUCGUUCUAGUUAGGAUUGGAGCUCCUAUUUGGUCAGCAUGUCGGAUGAGCAACAUGAGGCAUACCUCGCCGCGUCGGUGAAGUUCGAUGACGGCAUGAUUUUGUGUUGGGAGUGUUUUAAGUCGAACAAUAAAGAUUCGACUAAAGCACGACAUUACGAAGAUCUAAUUAAACACAACAAAUCGAAGCAUGCUAGGAACAAAUUUAUAUGUGGCAAGUGCGGUUGUUCCUUCUAUAGCGAGGGAGAGGAGGGCACACAUGAUCGUAUAGUCCACAGUACCUAGCCAGGUCAUUGGGCUGCUAGGUGGAAGAAAUUAAUAAUUUGAUGGAUUUAGUGGUUCUCACUUUAGGAGGAUUCCAACUAGAGCUCCAUCAGCUAGAUUAUUAGUCUUAGAUAAUUUCUUUAAUCAUUAGUAGUUGUGCUUGCUGCCUAUAGCUUUAGUUGUUCUCGCUUCAUGAGGAUUCUAUUUGUAGCCUAAUCAUUUUAUUAUUGAUGUUGUUAACUUUGCCGCCUUUCAUUAUGAUCUAAGUUAAUCUGUCUAAUUAUUUAAUUGUCAGUAAUUUGGCACUAUAUUUUGAUUA